rnacentral:rRNA from 1 species
AUGCAAGUCGAGCGGUAACAGAAAGUAGCUUGCUACUUUGCUGACGAGCGGCGGACGGGUGAGUAAUGCUUGGGAACAUGCCUUGAGGUGGGGGACAACAGUUGGAAACGACUGCUAAUACCGCAUAAUGUCUACGGACCAAAGGGGGCUUCGGCUCUCGCCUUUAGAUUGGCCCAAGUGGGAUUAGCUAGUUGGUGAGGUAAUGGCUCACCAAGGCAACGGUCCCUAGCUGGUUUGAGAGGAUGAUCAGCCACACUGGAACUGAGACACGGUCCAGACUCCUACGGGAGGCAGCAGUGGGGAAUAUUGCACAAUGGGGGAAACCCUGAUGCAGCCAUGCCGCGUGUGUGAAGAAGGCCUUCGGGUUGUAAAGCACUUUCAGUUGUGAGGAAAAGUUAGUAGUUAAUACCUGCUAGCCGUGACGUUAACAACAGAAGAAGCACCGGCUAACUCCGUGCCAGCAGCCGCGGUAAUACGGAGGGUGCGAGCGUUAAUCGGAAUUACUGGGCGUAAAGCGCACGCAGGCGGUUUGUUAAGCUAGAUGUGAAAGCCCCGGGCUCAACCUGGGAUGGUCAUUUAGAACUGGCAGACUAGAGUCUUGGAGAGGGGAGUGGAAUUCCAGGUGUAGCGGUGAAAUGCGUAGAUAUCUG